UACGGGGGGUGCAAGCGUUGUUCGGAAUCAUUGGGCGUAAAGAGCGUGUAGGCGGCUAGAUAAGUCAGAUGUGAAAGCCCUGGGCUCAACCCGGGAAGUGCAUUUGAAACUGUCUUGCUAGAGUAAGGGAGAGGGAAGUGGAAUUCCUGGUGUAGAGGUGAAAUUCGUAGAUAUCAGGAGGAACACCGGUGGCGAAGGCGACUUCCUGGCCCUAUACUGACGCUGAGACGCGAGAGCGUGGGGAGCAAACAGG
rnacentral:rRNA from 1 species